rfam:Gossypium raimondii Chr08_contig_778, whole genome shotgun sequence.
UAGUAAAAAAUUCAUUCAUUUCUAGGUUAAAAAUUGGCGUUGCUGAUAAAAUAACCAGACAGUUACACAUGACGUGCCAUGUGUACCUCAUUCUGAUAUAUAAAGACCAAUUUUUAAAGGUAGAAAUGAAUAAAAAUUUUAACA